GCGCGCGCAGGCGGUUUCUUAAGUCUGAUGUGAAAGCCCCCGGCUCAACCGGGGAGGGUCAUUGGAAACUGGGGAACUUGAGUGCAGAAGAGGAGAGUGGAAUUCCACGUGUAGCGGUGAAAUGCGUAGAGAUGUGGAGGAACACCAGUGGCGAAGGCGACUCUCUGGUCUGUAACUGACGCUGAGGCGCGAAAGCGUGGGGAGCGAACAGGAUUAGAUACCCUGGUAGUCCACGCCGUACACGAUGAGUGCUAAGUGUUAGAGGGUUUCCGCCCUUUAGUGCUGCAGCAUACGCAUUAAGCACUNCCACUGGGGAGGACGGUCGCAAGACUGAAACUCAAAGGAAUUGACGGGGGCCCGCACAAGCGGUGGACCAUGUGGUUUAAUUC
rnacentral:rRNA from 2 species